rnacentral:rRNA from 1 species
CCUACGGGAGGCAGCAGUGAGGAAUAUUGGUCAAUGGACGAGAGUCUGAACCAGCCAAGUAGCGUGAAGGAUGACUGCCCUAUGGGUUGUAAACUUCUUUUAUAUGGGAAUAAAAUGUUCCACGUGUGGGAUUUUGUAUGUACCAUAUGAAUAAGGAUCGGCUAACUCCGUGCCAGCAGCCGCGGUAAUACGGAGGAUCCGAGCGUUAUCCGGAUUUAUUGGGUUUAAAGGGAGAGUAGGUGGAUUGUUAAGUCAGUUGUGAAAGUUUGCGGCUCAACCGUAAAAUUGCAGGUGAAACUGGCAGUCUUGAGUACAGUAGAGGUGGGCGGAAUUCGUGGUGUAGCGGUGAAAUGCUUAGAUAUCACGAAGAACUCCGAUUGCGAAGGCAGUUCACUGGACUGCAACUGACACUGAGGCUCGAAAGUGUGGGUAUCAAACAGGAUUAGAUACCCUUGUAGUC